rnacentral:lncRNA from 1 species
AAAUAACAUUUCCAAAUAAUUUAUGUAUCCGACUUAUUGAACAGUUUAAAAGAGAAAAUCAGAGGAUAUAUCAAUUUUCUGUCAAUGCUUGAAAAAUAAUUGUAUGAUUUUAGUUACGCGUACCAGUCUUUAGAAAGAAAAGGGGGGUCAUUUGUUUACAAAUGCACGUAGUUCUGCAAAAUAAAUCGAUGAAGAUUUUUAACAAACCGGAUUAUUAUAUAAAUAAAUCUCUUUUAAAAGUAAAUGAAUUUUAAGCAUAAAUAAAUGAAAAUAAAAAACUAUAACAUAAAAAAAAAAAAGUCUUUGAGAUUUUUUUUUUUCUUUAAUUUCAUACAUAAAAAAUGGUCAUUUGAAAGAUGAAAUUAGGUGCCAGGAGAUUGCGAGAAUGCAGGAUUUUGCUCUAUUUAUGGCAGAGCUUCU